GGGGGCUUAGCUCAGCUGGGAGAGCGUUUGACUGGCAGUCAAAAGGUCAGGAGUUCGAUCCUCCUAGUCUCCACCA
rnacentral:tRNA from 1 species